CGUGGGUAAUCUGCCCUUCGAUGGGGAAUAACCUCGCGAAAGCGAGGCUAAUUCCGCAUAACAUUCCGAUGAUCUUGGUUGUUGGAUUCAAAGCCGUAAGGCGUCGGAGGAGGAGCCCGCGCACGAUUAGCUAGUUGGUGAGGUAACGGCUCACCAAGGCUAUGAUCGUUAGCUGGUCUGAGAGGAUGGCCAGCCACACUGGAACUGAGACACGGUCCAG
rnacentral:rRNA from 1 species